GACGAACGCUGGCGGCGUGCUUAACACAUGCAAGUCGAACGGAAGGGCCCUGCUUUUGUGGGGUGCUCGAGUGGCGAACGGGUGAGUAACACGUGAGUAACCUGCCCUUGACUUUGGGAUAACUUCAGGAAACUGGGGCUAAUACCGGAUAGGAGCUCCUGCUGCAUGGUGGGGGUUGGAAAGUUUCGGCGGUUGGGGAUGGACUCGCGGCUUAUCAGCUUGUUGGUGGGGUAGUGGCUUACCAAGGCUUUGACGGGUAGCCGGCCUGAGAGGGUGACCGGCCACAUUGGGACUGAGAUACGGCCCAGACUCCUACGGGAGGCAGCAGUGGGGAAUAUUGCACAAUGGGCGGAAGCCUGAUGCAGCAACGCCGCGUGCGGGAUGACGGCCUUCGGGUUGUAAACCGCUUUCGCCUGUGACGAAGCGUGAGUGGCGGUAAUGGGUAAAGAAGCACCGGCUAACUACGCG
rnacentral:rRNA from 1 species